UGUAUAUUAGAUGGACUUACGUUUUUUGUCAACAUAGAUUUCCAUAAUUUAUUGAAGACAAGUCGUUUAGGCUUUCCAUCUAAACUUACAGAGCAAGUAAAGUUUAUCUUAUGUGGAAUUUAAAGUCAGCAAUGUACAGCUUCAACUUAUUUUCUUCCUCAAACUAAUAGGUCAUGGUCAUGGUCAUGGUCAUGGUCAAUCUCAAUUCUCAUGUGAGUAUGUGUAUAGUAUUGGUUAUGUGAUCACCUGUGUUCAAAGUGAUUGAACUAUUUCAGCAAACAGAUUAAAUUUUUAUGGUCAACUUUGUUAGGGGAAUUUGGCCUAUUACCCUUGUUUUAAAGGCUUUAAUGAAAACUACCCACCCGUUUCCAACCCUUUUUGUUUUACCCUUCUAUUUUUUAAAUAUCCCCACAUUACCCUUUUCAAAUGUGAAAAGGAAGAAUGAAGAUGUAAGGUUACACCAUUUUUCCUCUAAACGGAGCACGAAGAAGAAGAGGAAGAAAAAGUGAGAGAGAAUGGCUAAGUGUUUUAGGACAAUUGGAGUUUUUCCUUUUGUCCCCUCUUGGCUUAGUUAGCUCUUGCUUCAGAUGUAAGUGAAGUUAAAAAUAUCUCUUCCUUUUCGGUAAGCUCAGUACUCGAGGGAGGAUCAGAGAAUCCACUCUUUACGUUAGGCUAGCGGUAUCUGUUUCUGUAUCAGCUUUAUCUAGCGAGUGGGCUUCUUCGUUGAGUAGACGUCUCGAGGGAACAAACCAAACAAAAUCCGUUUUUUUAGUAAAAACUCCUACUUUUGGCUUUCUCUUGCUGUUGCGUAAGUCGGAACUCUAAACGAAUCGAAAACACGUUCAGUAGAUAGAUCAGAAAAGAGAGGAGGAGCGAGUGGAGGAAGCAUCCAAGGCUCAGCAAUCAGCUCUGCCAUGCCCUUCUCGAUCUUGGCCUCGGAGUCGACGAGCAGGUCUACAACAAACUUCUCCUUCCUCUUCUUCUUCUGCUUCUUCUUCUUCUCACCACUCUUCCCAUUCCUCUGCUUCUCACUGACUCACUGAGACAACUAAAACAAUAACCUCAUCAGGAUGAUGGAUCUGUUCUACGUAUAUUUUCUCUUUCUGGAAGUAAUGCCCAAGAUGGACAUUUAGCUACUGGUCGUAAUGGUGUAAAGCGCCUCAAAACUAUAAGUUGUCAUCUGUUUUACUUUUUGAUGUGGUUGCUAUCUAUAUUGUCAUGGAGCCUGCUGUUCCACUAUUAGAAAAGAUCAAGGAACUAAAUUUGGAAGGUACAUAAAGGUAUAAACAAUCUGGUCUUCCUGGUUGAUAUUGGUUGUUUGAUUGCAUUAAUCUAAUUGCAUGAUACAUGUAAUUCUUCUUGUGCUAAAAAAUGUUUAAGGUGCUUGCAUUAAUGGUGAUAGCAUAUGAAGAAUCUUGGAGAAUUUAAAACUACUCUUUGACUUUUUUGUUUGAAAUGGGAAAUCUAAAUCAAUAUUAGCCACCUGUUUAGUAGGUUAUUGAAAACUCUUCCUGGCCAACUUGGUUUCUUUGAUUCAUUUAGUGAAUAUGUUCUAUCAGUGUGAUGUUAACUUUUGUUUUAGUGCUUCUCUUUAUUUAAAAAUUGAAAUUUCCAUCUAAAUGUAAACAGUAACAUGUAAUAUCUUUUGGUUUCUUUGUAUGAUUAUGCAUACAUAAGACAUGUGCCAAUCCUGUUUAUCACCGACUUGAAAGAAAAUGAAAAGAUUUGUCACUGCUACAACACAACUAUUACAAGAGCAGGAAGUGCUGAUGAAGCUUAAGCAAACUCUGAGGAGAAUGCAAGUCAAUGCUCAGUUAGAUCGUGUGAACUUGCUUGAGUUCCAGCAGAUGGUGAUAUGCCAUCGUCAAGAAAUGAGAAAUUUAAAAGAUUUGUGUCCAUGGAAUAAAACUUUCACGCGGAUGAGUCAUGUUGCACCUUUUAAAGGAUGCAUGGUGGGUGGAAUUGAUUCUUCCAUUGAAGAGAUAUGCAAGCCAACCAUUGGCGGUUCAAUGCAGUUGAGAAAUGUUAGCAUUGAAUUGGUUGUCAGUCAGGUCUUCCACAAGGCUAUUUAUUGUUCACAAAAGAGAAUUAAAGCCAUAAAUUUCCACUUCAUUCCAUGAAAGCUGUUUUGAGCAUCUAGUUUGACAUUUUUUUUUCUUUUUUUCAAAGGCAAAGCUUCCAAUGGUAUUGAGUUACUUUCACAGCUUUUGAAAAAUUCUUUUAUUUGUUGAUAUGGUGGAUCCAAUAGCCGUUUUCUUAUGAAGCAUAUACUUUGUCUUUUACUAUGCAAUUAUUUUUUAGUCCAUAUAUAUAUGGACAUAUAUAUAUAUAUAUAUAUAUAUUUCCACGAAAAUUCUAUGGUGAGGACGGUUCGCAUAAGGAUCGCAGUAUUAGUGACAGUUUUUUAUAGUAUUAACGACGGUUUCUUAAAAAAUUAUCACCAAUACUAUGAAAAACCGUCACCAAUACUGUGGUCUGCAUGAUGACCAUCCGCACCAUAGACGGACUGUAUAUUUCCAUAUACGUGCACAAACAUAUACAUAUUCCUCAUCCAUUAUGCAUCAAUGGACCCUAAGAUUAUCAUAGUUACAUAGUUACAUUAUAUAAAAAAAAUAAACAUCCUUCAUGCAUUAAUAUUAUGUUACAUAAUUACAUGAAAAAAAAUUAACAUAAAAAAUCACCAAUAGAAUUAUCAAAAAUGCAGAAGGAUACUGUCGGUAAUUUUUUAGCAACUAUGUUAAUCUUUGAAAAAAUUACCGACAUGGGCCAUAAGGAUUACACACAUGCAAUGAUCAAAUAGAUGUAUGCAUUGUUAGGGAAAGGCAGUUGGCCUAGUUCCAAAUGAUUUAAAACUAGGGGAUAUGUAAGAAGGGAACAAGGAUUUUGUUGGAGAGUUAUCAGUAACCAUUGUGGACGCUCGAAAGCUUUGUUAUUUCUUCUAUGGUAAAACUGAGUCUUUAAAUCCAAAAACAACUAUUCUUGUACCUAAAGAUAGAUAUGGACUUCACGCAGUUGAUACAUUGGAUCCUGACAUGAAACUAGUCGAGCUCCAUUUGAUCUCCCAGAAGCGGAAGCUGGAUCAGCUGCAGGCUAUAGUGUGAAUGCAAUUUUUCCUAAGUCUUUCAUAUGCUUACAAGAGGAGAGGUGAGAGAUGCUUUUUCAUAGAGGAAAGGAAAGCAGAGGUGGAGUAAGGAUUUAUUAUUAUUUAUUUUUCAAUGGAGUUGUAGGAAUGUAAUUAGUAGCCCAAUUGUUGGAUGUGUGAGUGUUGUGGUAUUGUUUUGUUAAAAAAGUCAUUUGUGGUAUUAUUUUGGUAAAAUAGUAUUGUGUUUUAAGUAUUUUGUAUGUUAUUUACCAUUAUAGAGAUGACAUUCAAUAAUCAUGAUAAUAUGAUAUUAACGUGUUUAUAAAAUUGUGGUGGGAAAUUUA